rnacentral:rRNA from 1 species
CAAGUCGAGCGGAAGGUAGUGGCAACAUUGCUUUUAGCGGCGAACGGGUGAGUAAUGCUUAUCUAACUUGCCAAUUAGUGGGGGAUAACCAUGGGAAACCAUGGCUAAUACCGCAUUUGUUAUUUCGAUAAUGAAAGGGAAUCGCAAGAUUCUCGCUAAUUGAGAGGGAUAAGUCGUAUUAGUUAGUUGGUGGGGUAAUGGCCUACCAAGACCAUGAUGCGUAGCCAGGCUGAGAGGCUGAUUGGCCACAAGGGAACUGAGACACGGUCCCUACUCCUACGGGAGGCAGCAGUGAGGAAUUGUCGGCAAUGGGGGCAACCCUGACCGCGCAAUACUACGUGAAGGAGGAAGGUCUACGGAUUGUAAACUUCUGUUAGUGCGGAAGAAGGGCUGAGCGCAAGUUCAGUUUUGACGGUACGCACAGAGAAAGCCACGACUAACUACGUGCCAGCAGUCGCGGUAAGACGUAGGUGGCGAACGUUAUCCGGAAUUAUUGGGCGUAAAGGGUGCGUAGAUGGCCUGAUAAGUUAGCAGUGGGAAAUCGAGGCUCAACCUCGUGGAAGCUGGUAAUACUGUCAAGCUCGAGUGCAGGAGAGGUUAACGGAACUCCAUGUGGAGCGGUAAAAUGUGUAGAUAUAUGGAAGAACACCAAUAACGGCGAAGGCAGUUAACUAUUCUGUUACUGACAUUGAGGCACGAAAGCGUGGGGAGCAAAACGGAUUAGAUACCCCGUGUAGUCCACGCCCUAAACGAUGAGUGCUAGAUAUUGGGAAACUUGAUUCUCAGUGUCGCUAGAUAAACUCGGU